rnacentral:rRNA from 1 species
CCUACGGGCCGCACCAGUGGGGAAUAUUGGACAAUGGGCGCAAGCCUGAUCCAGCCAUGCCGCGUGAGUGAAGAAGGCCUUAGGGUUGUAAAGCUCUUUCACCGGUGAAGAUAAAGACGGUAACCGGAGAAGAAGCCCCGGCUAACUUCGUGCCAGCAGCCGCGGUAAUACGAAGGGGGCUAGCGUUGUUCGGAAUUACUGGGCGUAAAGCGCGCGUAGGCGGAUAGAUAAGUCAGAGGUGAAAUCCCGGGGCUCAACCCCGGAAUUGCCUUUGAUACUGUUUAUCUUGAGUGCAGAAGAGGUAAGUGGAAUUCCGAGUGUAGAGGUGAAAUUCGUAGAUAUUCGGAGGAACACCAGUGGCGAAGGCGGCUUACUGGUCUGCGACUGACGCUGAGGCGCGAAAGCGUGGGGAGCAAACAGGAUUAGAUACCCGUGUAGUC